AUUGAACGCUGGCGGCAGGCCUAACACAUGCAAGUCGAGCGGAGCGGCGGACGGGUGAGUAAUGCUUAGGAAUCUGCCUGGUAGUGGGGGAUAACGUCCGGAAACGGGUGCUAAUAUCGCAUACUAUCAGAUGAGCCUAGGUCGGAUUAGCUAGUUGGUGGGGUAAAGGCCUACCAAGGCGACGAUCUGUAACUGGUCUGCUAGGAUGAUCAGUCACACUGGAACGGGGAAACGGUCCAGCCGCCUACGGGAGGCAGCAGUGGGGAAUAUUGGACAAUGGGCGAAAGCCGGUCCCAGCAAUGCGGCGGGUGGGAAAAAGGCCUUCGGGUUGUAAAGCACUUUAGGUUGGGAGGCGUUACCAGCAGAAUAAGCACCGGCUAACUUCGUGCCAGCAGCCGCGGUAAUAC
rnacentral:rRNA from 1 species